rnacentral:rRNA from 1 species
UAACGAAUAUUGGGCAAUGGGCGAAAGCCUGACCCAGCGACGCCGCGUGCGGGAGGAAGUCCCUCGGGAUGUAAACCGCUGUCAGGGUGAAGAAAGACCGCAAGGUUUGAUCUAACCCAGAGGAAGCAACGGCUAACUUCGUGCCAGCAGCCGCGGUAAUACGAAGGUUGCAAGCGUUGGUCGGAAUCACUGGGCUUAAAGCGUAUGUAGGCGGAUGAGUAAGCGUUUUGUGAAAUCCCCCGGCUUAACCGGGGAAUUGCUUGGCGAACUGCUCAUCUUGAGGCAAAUAGGGGUACAUGGAACUCUUGGUGGAGCGGUGGAAUGCGUAGAUAUCAAGAGGAACGCCAGCGGCGAAAGCGGUGUACUGGAUUUGUCCUGACGCUCAGAUACGAAAGCGUGGGGAGCAAACG